GACUUGAUUGAGAGGUUCCAAAGCAUGAGAAAUGUCAUCUUCUUACUGAUUUGUUAGGAACUUGAUGAGAGACUUUGGAUGAGACAGAGAACAAGCUAGUUGUUGAGUUCUUCAU